GGUGUCUGUGAUGAGAACUUGGCUCCCUCUACUGAAGUGCAGUGAGGAGAACCGCCAUUCGUUACCCAAUUUGGACUGAGACGCG
ensembl:snoRNA SNORD100 small nucleolar RNA, C/D box 100